rnacentral:rRNA from 1 species
GUAACGCGUGGGUGACCUGCCCCAUACCGGGGGAGUAACAGCUGGAAACGGCUGCUAAUACCGCAUAAGCGCACAGAGCUGCAUGGCUCGGUGUGAAAAACUCCGGUGGUAUGGGAUGGGCCCGCGUUGGAUUAGCUAGUUGGCAGGGCAGCGGCCUACCAAGGCGACGAUCCAUAGCCGGCCUGAGAGGGUGAACGGCCACAUUGGGACUGAGACACGGCCCAGACUCCUACGGGAGGCAGCAUG